UUGGAGGGCAAGUCUGGUGCCAGCAGCCGCGGUAAUUCCAGCUCCAAUAGCGUAUAUUAAAGUUGUUGCAGUUAAAGAGCUCGUAGUUGAAUUUCGGGGUUAGUAGGUUGGUCAUGCCUCUGGUAUGCACUGGUCUCACUGAUUCCUCCUUCCUGAUGAGCCGUAAUGCCAUUAAUUUGGUGUUGCGGGGAAUUUGGACUGUUACUUUGAAAAAAUUAGAGUGUUUAAAGCAAGCUAACGCUUGAAUACAUUAGCAUGGAAUAAUGAAAUAGGACGUUCGAUCCUAUUUUGUUGGUUUCUAGGAUUGACGUAAUGAUUAAUAGGGAUAGUUGGGGGCAUUAGUAUUCAAUUGUCAGAGGUGAAAUUCUUGGAUUUAUUGAAGACUAACUACUGCGAAAGCAUUUGCCAAGGAUGUUUUCAUUAAUCAAGAACGAAAGUUAGGGGAUCGAAGACGAUCAGAUACCGUCGUAGUCUUAACCAUAAACUAUGCCGACUAGGGAUCGGAUGAUGUUAAUUUUUUAAUGACUCAUUCGGCGCCUUACGGGAAAC
rnacentral:rRNA from 1 species